rnacentral:rRNA from 1 species
UACGUAGGGACCAAGCGUUGUUCGGAUUUACUGGGCGUAAAGGGCGCGUAGGCGGCAUGACAAGUCACUUGUGAAAUCUCCGGGCUUAACUCGGAACGGUCAAGUGAUACUGUCGCGCUAGAGUGCGGAAGGGGCAAUCAGAAUUCUUGGUGUAGCGGUGAAAUGCGUAGAUAUCAAGAGGAAUACCUGAGGUGAAGACGGGUUGCUGGGCCAACACUGACGCUGAGGCGCGAAAGCCAGGGGAGCAAACGGG